rnacentral:rRNA from 1 species
UGGGGAAUAUUGGACAAUGGGGGCAACCCUGAUCCAGCAAUGCCGCGUGUGUGAAGAAGGUUUUCGGAUUGUAAAGCACUUUCGACGGGGACGAUGAUGACGGUACCCGUAGAAGAAGCCCCGGCUAACUUCGUGCCAGCAGCCGCGGUAAUACGAAGGGGGCUAGCGUUGCUCGGAAUGACUGGGCGUAAAGGGCGUGUAGGCGGUUUGUACAGUCAGAUGUGAAAUCCCCGGGCUUAACCUGGGAGCUGCAUUUGAUACGUGCAGACUAGAGUGUGAGAGAGGGUUGUGGAAUUCCCAGUGUAGAGGUGAAAUUCGUAGAUAUUGGGAAGAACACCGGUGGCGAAGGCGGCAACCUGGCUCAUAACUGACGCUGAGGCGCGAAAGCGUGGGGAGCAAACAGGAUUAGAUACCCUGGUAGUCCACGCUGUAAACGAUGUGUGCUAGAUGUUGGGUAACUUAGUUAUUCAGUGUCGCAGUUAACGCGUUAAGCACACCGCCUGGGGAGUACGGCCGCAAGGUUGAAACUCUAAAGUGAAUUG